CAUAACUAGUAUUGGAGGCACUGCCUGCCCAGUGACAACCGUUAAACGGCCGCGGUAUCCUGACCGUGCAAAGGUAGCAUAAUCACUUGUUCUCUAAAUAGGGACUUGUAUGAAUGGCCACACGAGGGUUUUACUGUCUCUUACUUCCAAUCAGUGAAAUUGACCUUCCCGUGAAGAGGCGGGAAUAUAUUAAUAAGACGAGAAGACCCUAUGGAGCUUUAACUACUUAGCCCAAAAGAAACAAAUUUCAUUGCUAAGGAAACAACAACACUCUUUAUGGGCUAACAGCUUUGGUUGGGGUGACCUCGGAGAACAAGAAAUCCUCCGAGCGAUUUUAAAGACUAGACCUACAAGUCGAAUCACACAAUCGUUUAUUGAUCCAAAAAAUUGAUCAACGGAACAAGUUACCCUAGGGAUAACAGCGCAAUCCUGUUCAAGAGUCCAUAUCGACAAUAGGGUUUACGACCUCGAUGUUGGAUCAGGACAUCCCGAUGGUGCAACCGCUAUCAAAGGUUCGU
rnacentral:rRNA from 1 species